rnacentral:rRNA from 1 species
CACGAGUCUGACGGAGCACGCCGCGUGAGUGAUGAAGGCUUUCGGGUCGUAAAACUCUGUUGUUAGGGAAGAACAAGUGCUAGUUGAAUAAGCUGGCACCUUGACGGUACCUAACCAGAAAGCCACGGCUAACUACGUGCCAGCAGCCGCGGUAAUACGUAGGUGGCAAGCGUUAUCCGGAAUUAUUGGGCGUAAAGCGCGCGCAGGUGGUUUCUUAAGUCUGAUGUGAAAGCCCACGGCUCAACCGUGGAGGGUCAUUGGAAACUGGGAGACUUGAGUGCAGAAGAGGAAAGUGGAAUUCCAUGUGUAGCGGUGAAAUGCGUAGAGAUAUGGAGGAACACCAGUGGCGAAGGCGACUUUCUGGUCUGUAACUGACACUGAGGCGCGAAAGCGUGGGGAGCAAACAGGAUUAGAUACCCUGGUAGUCCACGCCGUAAACGAUGAGUGCUAAGUGUUAGAGGGUUUCCGCCCUUUAGUGCUGAAGUUAACGAUUUUUCACUCCCCCCGGGGAGUACUGGCGCAAGGAUCAAACUCAAAGGACUUUGCGGGG